GACGAACGCUGGCGGCGUGCCUAAUACAUGCAAGUUGAGCGCUGAGGCGUGGUACUUGUACCAAUGGUGUUAGCAGCGAACGGGUGAGUAACGCGUGGGUAAUCUGCCUUUGAGCGGGGGACAACAUCGGGAAACGAGUGCUAAUACCGCAUAAUAACUUUAAACACAAGGUUUAAGUUUGAAAGAUGCAAUUGCAUCACCCAAAGGUUAGCCCGCGUUGUAUUAACUAGUUGGUGAGGGAAAGGCCCACCAAGGGGAUGAUACAUAGCCGAACUGAGAGGGUGAUCGGCCACAUUGGGACUGAGACACGGCUCAAAACUCUUCGGGGGGGCGCCGGAGGGAAUCUUUGGCCAUGGGCGGAAGUCUGAACGAGGCAAGCCGGGGGAGUGAAGAAGGUUUUCGGGUCGUAAAAAUCUGUUGGUAGGGAAGAAACUUAGUGGGAGUGGAAAGCUCACAAAGUGACGGUAACUAAUCAGAAAGCGACGGCUAACUACGUG
rnacentral:rRNA from 1 species